GUCUAUGGCCAUGGCACCCUGAACAAGCCUGAUGUCUGAUCUCAGAAGCUAAGCAGGGUCAGGCCUGGUUAGUACUUGGAUGGGAGACCACCUAGGAAGACCAAGUACUGUAGGCA
rnacentral:rRNA from 1 species